rnacentral:rRNA from 1 species
UACGUGGGGGGCAAGCGUUGUCCGGAUUUAUUGGGUUUAAAGGGUGCGUAGGCGGUCUUGUAAGUCAGUGGUGAAAUACUCUAGCUUAACUAGAGGGGUGCCGAUGAUACUGCAGGGCUUGAGUACAGAUGAGGUAGGCGGAAUUGACGGUGUAGCGGUGAAAUGCAUAGAUAUCGUCAAGAACACCUAUAGCGAAGGCAGCUUACUGGGCUGUAACUGACGCUGAGGCACGAAAGUGUGGGGAUCAAACAGG